AUUGAACGCUGGCGGCAUGCUUUACACAUGCAAGUCGAACGGUAACAGGCCGCAAGGUGCUGACGAGUGGCGAACGGGUGAGUAAUGCAUCGGAACGUGCCCAGUCGUGGGGGAUAACUAUCCGAAAGGAUAGCUAAUACCGCAUACGAUCUGCGGAUGAAAGCGGGGGACCUUCGGGCCUCGCGCGAUUGGAGCGGCCGAUGUCAGAUUAGGUAGUUGGUGGGGUAAAGGCUCACCAAGCCAACGAUCUGUAGCUGGUCUGAGAGGACGACCAGACACACUGGGGCUGGGACACGGCCCAGACCCCUACGGGAGGGAGCAGUGGGGAAUUUUGGACAAUGGGCGCAAGCCUGAUCCAGCAAUGCCGCGUGCAGGAAGAAGGCCUUCGGGUUGUAAACUGCUUUUGUACGGAACGAAACGGCUCUGGUUAAUACCUGGGGCUAAUGACGGUACCGUAAGAAUAAGCACCGGCUAACUACGUGCCAGCCGCCGCUGUAG
rnacentral:rRNA from 1 species